CCUUUGGUGAACGCCUCCAGGCCGAACUGGACGUUCAGCUCCCUCAUCUCCGCAGAGGCCUUGAACUCCUCCACCGCAAGGGUCCUGGCCUCCGAGACCAGAACCGGAGUUUGCUCGGCCAGAUGGGCGACCUCGGCCUCCGCCUUUCUCGCCGACUCCUCCAAGCUUCGUCUCUCCUCCUCCCGGGCUUGUCUUUCCUCUUCCCGAUCUUGCCUCUCUCUCUCCAGGGCCUCCCGGAGGGCGGCCACCUCGGCCGUCUUCGCUUGAAGGCGGGCAACCUCAUCCUGGCAGCGCUCCUCCGCCCGAAGAAGGUCCCUUCUCAUGCGUCCCGACGCCUCGACAUAGGCGAAGAGCUGGUGCCCGAUCUGCAAGGA
rnacentral:lncRNA from 1 species